rnacentral:rRNA from 1 species
UACGACUACAUAUCAGGCAUAUCAAUAAGCGGAGGAAAAGAAACUAACUAGGAUUCCCUUAGUAACGGCGAGUGAAGCGGGGAGAGCUCAAAUUUGAAAUCUUCAAGGUUUUACCUUGACGAAUUGUAGUUUAAAGAAGUGUUUUCUGUUGAAGUUUCGGUAAAAGUUCUUUGGAAUAGGACAUCAUAGAGGGUGAGAAUCCCGUAUUUGACCGUUAUUUUCAGCUGUGUGAUACACUUUCAAAGAGUCGGAUUGUUUGGGAAUGCAGUCCAAAAUGGGUGGUAAAUUUCAUCUAAAGCUAAAUAUUGGCGAGAGACCGAUAGCGAACAAGUACCGUGAGGGAAAGAUGAAAAGAACUUUGAAAAGAGAGUUAAACAGUACGUGAAAUUGUCAAAAGGGAAGCGUUUGACACCAGUGUUGUUUUCUCGAAAAUCAAUUAAAAAUGGCUGGAUUUUGUGUUGUAUUGACCUUAUAAGCUUUCUGCACUUUUUUCAUGUCUUUUUUAAUGCACUUUUCGUUUAACAAGUCAACAUCAGUUUCUUUUGUUGUAAAAAGGUCAUUGGAAGGUGGCUUUCUUUUCGGAGAAAGUGUUUAUAGCCUUUGACUCCUGCAAUCGGAGAGACUGAGGUCUGCAGCGUAGAUCCUUCGGGAUUAGAUGCAUUUGUGCUAAGUUAUAGCUUUGUAUAGACGACUUGUUGACUAUGAUUAGUCAUUGUAGCUUACUCGCUUAUGUAUUUUACCUACGCUUAGGAUGUUGACGCGCGUGUGUGCGUG